rnacentral:pre_miRNA from 1 species
UUUUUCAAGUCAUGAAAAUAAAAAGUUUUGGGUCAUAACAUAAAUAAUUUUAAUAUCUUACGGCCCCUAAACUUUUCAUUUUUCAAGAUUCUACAGCA